rnacentral:rRNA from 1 species
GAUGAACGCUGGCGGCGUGCCUAAUACAUGCAAGUCGAGCGAACAGAUGGGGAGCUUGCUCCUCUGACGUUAGCGGCGGACGGGUGAGUAACACGUGGAUAACCUACCUAUAAGGCUGGGAUAACUUCGGGAAACCGGAGCUAAUACCGGAUAAUAUAUUGAACCGCAUGGUUCAAUAGUGAAAGACGGUUUUGCUGUCACUUAUAGAUGGAUCCGCGCCGCAUUAGCUAGUUGGUAAGGUAACGGCUUACCAAGGCAACGAUGCGUAGCCGACCUGAGAGGGUGAUCGGCCACACUGGAACUGAGACACGGUCCAGACUCCUACGGGAGGCAGCAGUAGGGAAUCUUCCGCAAUGGGCGAAAGCCUGACGGAGCAACGCCGCGUGAGUGAUGAAGGUCUUCGGAUCGUAAAACUCUGUUAUUAGGGAAGAACAAAUGUGUAAGUAACUAUGCACGUCUUGACGGUACCUAAUCAGAAAGCCACGGCUAACUACGUG